rnacentral:rRNA from 1 species
AUACGGAGGGAGCGAGCGUUAAUCGGAAUUACUGGGCGUAAAGCGCGCGUAGGUGGCUAUGUAAGUCGGAUGUGAAAGCCCCGGGCUCAACCCGGGAACUGCGCUUAUUACUGAUAAACUAGAGUCCGGGAGAGGGUGGCGGAAUUCCCAGUGUAGAGGUGAAAUUCGUAGAUAUUGGGAAGAACACCAGUUGCGAAGGCGGCCACCUGGACCGGUACUGACGCUGAGGUGCGAAAGCGUGGGGAGCAAACAGGAUUAGAAACCCCAGUAGUCC